AACAAUGUAUUUUAUUAAGAAUGUUGAGUUUGCGUCUCAAAGGUAGAAUUAUUAUUCUCUUUGUUA
rnacentral:tRNA from 2 species